GAUGAACGCUGGCGGCGUGCCUAAUACAUGCAAGUCGAGCGAACAGACGAGGAGCUUGCUCCUCUGACGUUAGCGGCGGACGGGUGAGUAACACGUGGAUAACCUACCUAUAAGACUGGGAUAACUUCGGGAAACCGGAGCUAAUACCGGAUAAUAUAUUGAACCGCAUGGUUCAAUAGUGAAAGACGGUUUUGCUGUCACUUAUAGAUGGAUCCGCGCCGCAUUAGCUAGUUGGUAAGGUAACGGCUUACCAAGGCAACGAUGCGUAGCCGACCUGAGAGGGGGCUCGGCCACAAUGGAACGGAGACACGGUCCAGACCCCUAGGGGGGGCAGGAGUAGGGAAUCUUCCGCAAUGGGCGAAAGCCUGACGGAGCAACGCCGCGGGAGGGAAGAAGGUUUUCGGAUCGUAAAACUUUGUUAUUAGGGAAAAAAAAAUGUGUAAGUAACUAUGCACGUCUGGACGGUACCUACUCAGAAAGCCACGGCUAACUACGU
rnacentral:rRNA from 1 species